UCGCGCUUUGCCCUUAUUCUGAGUUAUUCUGUUUGUUGCCAGUUGCCAUAUUGGUCUGAUUCGUCUGAUACUUAAAUAAUAAACAAUACUGUUACAAUUGCUAGUGGUAAUAUGAAGCCGUGCCAGUCCCGCCGAUAUAAAGUCAAAUGUGAUUUGUGCGGAGAUGUGUUUAACAACGACUAUAAAACCAUACAUGAAAAUAAACAUCACCCGGGCAAAAUAGUGAGAGUUCGCAUUGUUGGAGCUCCAGAAAAUCCUUUUGAGGCGGCAAAGAGGAAAAAUAUAUACAAAGAUUCACGUUUAGAAGGUACGAAAUUUCAUGAAAAUGACUCAAGAGACGUAGCCCUAGAAAUUAAUGAACCAUCAACCUCUUCUAAAUGUAUUUCUCCUGUUCAGCCUAUUCUCAUGGAAGUCGUUGAAAAUUCGACAAAUUCCGGUAAUGAUGAAUGUAAUAACCCUGCAAAGAAAAUGAAAACUGUCG